AAUUACAUGUACAGGAAUAUCGAAUUCUGAUGUUCGAAAUGCAACAGCAAUUUCCUAAUGUGUCUAAAUUUAGGACAAAGGUUGCCAUGCAAAGAAUCACAAAGAGUAGUACUAAACGUUAUGUCAUCAUUUAAAGGAGUUCAAUAAAACUGUGGGAAAAAUCUCACUUUCAAGUCUCAAGAAUUAAACAUAUAGCAUAAUCAGUGAGCCCAGCCAGGUACAUUGACCCAAAAACAAGAUACUUCUCAAGGUCUAUCACAGACUAACGACGCAUAAACGAACACAAACUCCCAUUUUACAUGUCUCCUAGCACAACAGACGCGAAAUUGGAGGAGGUAGGCAUUUCACAAAUUUUCGACUAGUAGAGAAAAAGAUGCUCAUCAUUCAUCAGCCUUGGGAGAAUUUUCUGGGGUUCUCAGUGCAACUGGGGCAGUAGAUUUGUGCUUGGUGACUUCUGCUCGAAAAUCUUCAACUAUGGAAGGAUCCUUGAAUUUCAAGGCAAAUGUUGAAAGAGCGUCUUUCCCCUCACCAGCACUGUUCACGCAGGCAAAAGUGAUGCCUUUCUUGUCCAUAUUUGUAAGCUUCAUGUCUGGAAAAAGACUAGCAUUGAGAAUUAGACGAUAAUUUCCUCGGGCCCUCAUAACAAGUCUGCCUUUUCCUGUCCCUGUUGUGGAAACGUUGACCUUCAGUUCCCCCUUCCCCCGUUCCUUCCAAGAUCCGUCAAUAUAUUACAAAAAGAAUAGAAUCAGCAGUGAAAACAGCAUUCUCAUUCUCCUCUCCAGUUUGAAUAGGANUUAAGUACAUUUUCUUUACUGAAAAUGAAAAACGAGACUAUUGGAGUGAGACGUCUCAAAAAGGAAAACGAACCUAUUAAAAUGGGACGGAGAGAGUAAUAUAUUUAUAUAAAUUAAAAUUUUAAAAAUAAAUAAAUAUAUCGUGGCCCGUGCAUCGCACGGGAGGAUGUACUAGUAAUAAAUUAAUAACUAGUAAAAAUUAAUCGUUCAUUUUAAAUAACCUCUUGAUAUUUUUUUAUUUUUUUAUGAUCAGUAGGUAAAAGUACCCACAUUUAUUUACAUAAAUGUUGUUGAGAUGUGAUGUUACUUCGGGUUGAUCUCAAAGAACAUUAGGUGUUCUGAAUUGAAGAUUAAUGUUACCAUCUUUGGAGCUAAAAAGUAUGAUACUAUAUCUUUAAAAAGUAUGAAAUUGUUACCUAAAAUUCUUUAAUAUUUAAGUUGAAUCGGUGUAAAGUGAAUUAAACUAAUAAAGUGUAAUACAAGGAAUAUUAAAAACUUAUCGUUGCCAUUGAUCAAUAGUAUUUAUAUAGUAAUAUGAAUCGAGGUGAGGGUAUGAAUAGAAAAUUGGCUUGUUUGAUCAUUUUGGACAUCUUUAAAUGUAAAAUGGUAUUUUGAUUAUUACUAAUCGUCGAGAAGGAAUCAUGAAAGAAUAUAUAAAAAUUUGUAGUAGGUGAAGGGGCCGGACAUAACAAAUAAAUAAUUUUUAGGGAGGUUCAAUUAAUAAUAAUAGAAAUAAAAAUUAAAAAAAAUUAGUGUAACAUUCCCUAACUUUAACAUACCCAAAAAGAUAAAUAUCCAUUGAAAUUUAGAAAAAAAUUAAAACAUUUGUAAGAAAAAUAAAUAAGUUAGAUUUAUAAAUAAACUACAACAGUUAAUUAACAAUUAUCAAGAACUGUGAACUAAUCAAGUAUUUAUGACUUAUACUCCCAUCAAUUGACAUAAUAUAUAAAUCAACUAAUUAUUGACAAAUAUGAUUAAGAAAAUAUUUAAAAUGAAGAGCUCGUAAUUAAAUAGAUAUUUUAAAUAGUAGAUUUUCUUGAAUAUAAUAUUUGGCAGCAGUAGUGAAGGGACUAAAAAAGAGUAUACGUAGAGACUUGGACAAUUCUAAAUAUGUGACUAUUACUUAUAUGUAUUGUUAGACGACAAAUAACAAUCACAUGUCGCAUUGAACUUGUGACCCAAAUAUAUAUGUGCAUAAUAUACAUAUCAGCACUUCUCUUAUAUAUAAAUCCAACUUGGACCAUAUUUUAAUUACUUUUUCUCUGAGACAAACUGAAUCAUUAGUUUCAGCGAUUCACGGAAUAAAUUGCUUUUCAAUUUUGACAACCACAACUCAUCAUUUCUUCUACUUGCUACUCUCUAACUAUAUACGAUAUCGAUGGAGUAUUUAUUUUGUUUCGUAAUGUCAACUUCGUUUCCGAAUUUGAAUUCAUCAUGGCGUAAUAUUUAAAUUGACUUGUUAAUAUAUAUAUAGAAAAAUGGUACUUAAUUAUAUUGUGUAUAUAUUGACCUAGCAAUAAAUGUUAAUGUAUGAAGUCAAAGAUCUUGGAUUCGAGUCAACAUUGACGUGGCCUUUAAAUUUAACUGUUAAAUUGACCAAAAAAAAAAAAACAAAAAAAAAGAAUACCAUCUCAUCUCCACUGUCUGCUGAAUUCACUUAUACAUUACAUAUAUAUGUGUAAUAUAAAUAUUUUAAUAUAUAAAGUGGUAUUUUAACCACCAUUUGAAAAGUGUGAUACGAAAUUAGCUCGAACAACUUAAUUAUAAGUGGGCAUCCCAAAAAUGGGUUACUACUGGCCACUCACAUGACUGCCAUAAGAUGCAUAUAAUAUAACUAUUCAUUUCAAAUGUGUGUGUGUGAGUGUUGUGUUGCUAUAUAAGAUCCUCAUCAGCUGAUAGGGAAAGAUUAUGUUGAAAAGAAGAAGUUUAGAGAUGGAUGUGAGGAAAGUGAUGAGAGCAAUUGGUAUGCUAGUUUUAGGUGUGGGAAUGCUAAGUGGAAAAUCCUCAGCUACUUUCAAAGACUGCUACACCAAAUGCUUCAUUUUCUGCAUGAUUGAACCUUCUCAAACCCUUUGUUCCUGCACCACACACUGCUUGAAGGAUUGCAUCUUCCAAGAAAUCCAGAACGAUCUUCGUGAAGAUUCCGACAACCUCGGCUUCUGCAAACUCGGCUGCGCCUUCUCCAUGUGCUCUACUUUCAGCUCCAAACGCACGCCCAGUAAUUAAUAACCCUUCUUCUUCUUCUUCUUCCUCUUCUUCUUCUUNCAAAGAUCUUGGAUUCGAGUCAACAAUUGACGUGGACCUUUAAAUUUAAACUAGUUAAAAUUAGACCAAAAAAACAAAAAAAAAAAGAAAGUAACUCAUCUCAUCUCCACUGUCUGCUGAAUUCACUUAUACAUUACAUAUAUAUGUGUAAUAUAAAUAUUUUAAUAUAUAAAGUGGUAUUUUAACCACCAUUUGAAAAGUGUGAUACGAAAUUAGCUCGAACAACUUAAUUAUAAGUGGGCAUCCCAAAAAUGGGUUACUACUGGCCACUCACAUGACUGCCAUAAGAUGCAUAUAAUAUAACUAUUCAUUUCAAAUGUGUGUGUGUGAGUGUUGUGUUGCUAUAUAAGAUCCUCAUCAGCUGAUAGGGAAAGAUUAUGUUGAAAAGAAGAAGUUUAGAGAUGGAUGUGAGGAAAGUGAUGAGAGCAAUUGGUAUGCUAGUUUUAGGUGUGGGAAUGCUAAGUGGAAAAUCCUCAGCUACUUUCAAAGACUGCUACACCAAAUGCUUCAUUUUCUGCAUGAUUGAACCUUCUCAAACCCUUUGUUCCUGCACCACACACUGCUUGAAGGAUUGCAUCUUCCAAGAAAUCCAGAACGAUCUUCGUGAAGAUUCCGACAACCUCGGCUUCUGCAAACUCGGCUGCGCCUUCUCCAUGUGCUCUACUUUCAGCUCCAAACGCACGCCCAGUAAUUAAUAACCCUUCUUCUUCUUCUUCUUCUUCUUCUUCUUCUUCCUCUUCCUCUCUCUCUUAUUUUGAUGGUCGUUUUUUCUUUUUUUCAGAUGGUGACAAAGUGGAUAGCUGUGUGGGGUCCUGCUCCAACAAGUGCACCAAGAGCUACUCAUCAUUACCUUAAUUACAAGAAUUUCCUCUCAUGAUUUGUACCUUGAAAACUAAUUAUUCCAUGAUUUCAUCAGAUCGAAAAUUGCAGUCAAUUGGACUAUGAUCUCUAUUUGAAAGAAGAAUUAUCAUCUCAACCUUUCGGAAUUGUCUUGUUCUUGUUUUGUUGUGUUUAGUUUAUAUCACCAAAGAAAAAUCCAAGCCUUCAAAUCUGUGAUCUAUGACUAGUAUUAGUAAUGAGAAUGGUCUGCUAUUUGUUUAUUAACAUUUUUGUAAUAUUGUAAGUGGCCCGUGAGCAAGAUGCUGAUAAUAAAUGAAACAUUUUUCAGAUGAAUAAAUACUCCUAAAUAACAUAAUAUGACAUCAGAUGGUCACGGGAGUAAAUAUUUCAAAAUUCAACACAAUCCAACACUAAAAUGACUGUAAGUAGUAGAUCUAUAAUCAAAUUUGAAAACAACUAGGGAAAAUUACAUGUACAGGAAUAUCGAAUUCUGAUGUUCGAAAUGCAACAGCAAUUUCCUAAUGUGUCUAAAUUUAGGACAAAGGUUGCCAUGCAAAGAAUCACAAAGAGUAGUACUAAACGUUAUGUCAUCAUUUAAAGGAGUUCAAUAAACUGUGGGAAAAUCUCACUUUCAAGUCUCAAGAAUUAACAUAUAGCAUAAUCAGUGAGCCCAGCCAGGUACAUUGACCCAAAAACAAGAUACUUCUCAAGGUCUAUCACAGACUAACGACGCAUAAACGAACACAAACUCCCAUUUUACAUGUCUCCUAGCACAACAGACGCGAAAUUGGAGGAGGUAGGCAUUUCACAAAUUUUCGACAAGUAGAGAAAAAGAUGCUCAUCAUUCAUCAGCCUUGGGAGAAUUUUCUGGGGUUCUCAGUGCAACUGGGGCAGUAGAUUUGUGCUUGGUGACUUCUGCUCGAAAAUCUUCAACUAUGGAAGGAUCCUUGAAUUUCAAGGCAAAUGUUGAAAGAGCGUCUUUCCCCUCACCAGCGCUGUUCACGCAGGCAAAAGUGAUGCCUUUCUUGUCCAUAUUUGUAAGCUUCAUGUCUGGAAAAAGACUAGCAUUGAGAAUUAGACGAUAAUUUCCUCGGGCCCUCAUAACAAGUCUGCCUUUUCCUGUCCCUGUUGUGGAAACGUUGACCUUCAGUUCCCCCUUCCCCCGUUCCUUCCAAGAUCCGUCAAUAUAUUCAAAAAGAAUAGAAUCAGCAGUGAAAACAGCAUUCUCAUUCUCCUCUCCAGUUUGAAUAGGAACCUCCUGCAUGGGAGGAAAUUUGUUGCCCUCACUCUUACUGAUGCUACUUGCCCCAGAGCUCCCAAAAAUAGAAGAGCUUCCAUUAUUAGAAACACCAAAACUAAAGGUUGUAGUACUGUCACUCUUUGGGGCAGUACCAUCUUUAUUGAUCGAUCCAAAUGAGAAUGAGGUACUAGAAAACCCUGUUCCAGUAAGACCAGAGAAAG
rnacentral:lncRNA from 1 species